CUAAAUAGGCAAUGCACGUUGCUAAAAAUGUGUUUUACAUUAUUAUUUGCCUGUGCAAUAAAAGGUUCAACCCCAAUUUAAUUUCAACAAGCCUUGCUUAUUAAUUAAAAAACAUUAAAUAUAUUAAAUUACAAAAACUCUACAAUUAUGUUCAUGCUUCUAAUAAAAUCGUCUCACCUCGGACCUUAACCCUCAGAUCAUUUUGCACCGUCGGCGAACUCCCAGUCAUCAAGCUCCAGCAACGCCUCUAAACAUUGAUUGGAGAUGUGUCAAAGCCUCAAAGUUAACGUCCUUGCGGUACCCUUAGAGAAACACAAUAAAAUGUUGUGAAAGCACCUUCGUGUAGUCAGUAGUCUGCUCAUCCGAAGAAGAUGCGCCGUAAAAGUAGCCACUAGAAUAUCUCGACGGCAACUUCAUUUGACGACAAAUAAUCUCUCUCACAUAAUAUCUGCUAUUUUAUACUCUAUUUAAUUUCUAUGGAAAAUCCAAAUCCCAAUCGUUCCACUGAGGCUGUGCAACCUCCAAGUGUUUGAGUGUCAAUCCUUUGUCUCGGUCCCAAGGUAAAUGUGCUGGUUGCAACUUUGUGGGAUAAUCAGGUCAUUUCUUGCUUCAAUUGAUUUUUCAUCCUUUUUUUCUACCUUUUUAAUCAAUGUAAUUUCUAUUUGCUAAUUGGGACUUUUAUUUUGACCUUAUCUAAGAAAAUGAUAGGAAAAAUUGUCAUUAUGGUUUAAUUGUUGGGAGAUAUUUUCGAUGGUGCUUGAUGAGUUUGUUUCACUCAUGAACGUUUUGAGUGCAGAACGUUUUUGAUGGGUUUGUUAGUGUUGUUUUGAAGAUUAGGAAAGGUGAUGCAAAAAGAGGUAUUAAAGUGGACGAAGAAAAAAAUAAAAAAAUUGGAGCAGAAAGGCAGCGCCCAACGCUUGUAGCGUCAAGCGCUACGAAAUGUGAAAAAACGAAGAAUUGGAGCAGAGAAUGAGUAGCGCUCAGGAGCUACGUGUGAUUUGUCGCGGCGCUUAAGCGCUGACCCCUAAUGCUUAAAUGUCGGGGUCGUCUAGGGCACAUUUUUGGACCGUCUUAAAGUCCAUAAAAACCCUACUUUCUACACAAACGAGGGGCCACCUAUAAAUACAAAAUUCUCACAUUUUGGAGGGGAAUUUUUUCACGCUUUGAGAGGCAAGAGAAUACAACUGAAAAAUCAAAAGAAGUAUUCAUAGGAGGAAAACAUCAAGCAAUUAAAAGUUUACGCAUUAAUUGGAAAAGGAAGAAGAUCUUGGUUGCAAGAAUUCUACUUUUUCAUAUACAUCUUUAUUACAAAUUCGGUGAUGUAUUCUAAGACAAUUGAUUGUUUUUUUCUUUCAUUAUGAAUAGUUAAAUUCAUUGUUAGGGAGAAUAUUGUAACCAAUUGGGAUCCUUUAUAUUUUCUUAUUAAGAUUCUUGAUUUUUAUUGUUUCAUGUGUUGAUUUUACUAUGAAGUGAAUGCAUUAAAUUACUUGAUCAAUAAUUUGAUGAUUUUGUGAAUUCUUUACGAAUAGAGAUAGGAGUUUAGAAUUUAGACCAUAUAGUAAAAUUCAGUAAAUUGGUAUAACGAGUAGAGAUACAUAAGCUAAUUAUUGUGGUCAUAAUUGAAUUCAUAGGACGAAGAACUUGUUUAACUAAGUGGAUUUGAAUAGAGAUAUGUAAUUUAAUUAGUUAAAUAUGCUCAAUGAGAACUCCAGAUGGGUAUAUUGAAUACAAUAGGAGAAUUCAACCGAACACUACAUUGGAUAAAAAUCUUGAUUUGAGAUGUAAAGGUGAUCAAUAGGUGAAGUUAUUCUACCCUAAAGUCCUUCCAUAAUUUGAUUUUCAACCCAAUAGUGUGUGCAUUCAUUAACUUUAUCACCUUUAGAUAUAAAAAAUCAAAUCCUACAAGUUUUUGUUUCAAUCAAAUGGCGGUUAAAGAAAAAUUGAAUUAAGUGUUAGAAUAUAGUCCUUGUGGGAUCGAGAAUUCGGACUCUUAGGUCCACUAUUAUUUGUUACGGUCCAUAUACUUGCGAAAAUAAAAUUGACAAUAGUGCUAGUAUGUGAUAUUACCUUGCAUUUGUGACAUGACCUAUUCACGCCUCAAAUUUGUAUUUGUGAAAUUUUAAUUCAAGUUUGAGUGGAAAAGUUUAUAACUUAAAUGUCAUGGCUACAAAUCUAUGCCUAUAUGGAUUGUCUAAGUUUUAUUUGUAGGAAAUAAAAGUGGUUACAAAUUAGUGAAAUCAAUUAGCUGUUGACAUACCUGCUCUGAUACAUUUGUUUGGGAAUUCUUCUUUGGUGUGAUGUUGGGAGAUAAUUAAAACUGGAACUACACUCACUCAGUAAUUAGUAGUUGGAACUUCUUAGUUUUUGUUGUUAUAUAAGUUCAAUUCCUUUAGGUUGUUGAUCCUUUCAUUGCCCCUGAUGGUGAGGCCUUAAGUGCAUAUGCAAUUGAAUGAUAAUUCACGUGUCAUUCUCAUUUUAAGGUAAACUAAAUGUCUGGACUAUGUUUUGUAUUAUACUAUCUAUAGUACAACUUUGUCACAACAAGAGAUUUCCUCUCUCCCACUUAGUGCCAUAGUAUCUCUGCCAGUUGAACUUCAAUUCUCAUUAUUUUCUUUUACUUGUCCACUAUUGACUUAAGAUCUCUACGAUUUCAAUCUCAAAACAUUGUUCUCCUCAUGGUACUAGGAAUCGUAAACUCAGACUAAACUAAUCAGUAUCUGUUUGCUCUCUUUUAGCCUUUUCAAUACAUGAUAUUUAUCUGUAAGUUUAAUAGUUUCUUAGCUCAGGGAAUUAAAUUCAAAUUUUCUCGUCCAGAUAUCAAACGACGAAGCUGUUGAAACUACUAAGCAAUUAGCUCUUCAAGAGGGCAUGCUAGUUAGUACUUUACGCUAGUGUUGCAUAAAUUUGUCAGAUCACCCACAUUAAUAUUGCAUCUUUAGGUUGAGUACUUAACAGGUGGGUAUUUCUUCUGGAUCGACAACUGUUGCUGCCAUGGAGGUUGGAAAGAGACAUGAAAAUUCAGAAAAGCUUAUUGCGAAGUUGAAGCAUCGUGUCAUAAAGAAGAAUAUUAAUCCUAAAUGGAAUGAGGAUUUGACACUUGUAGUUGGAAAGU